GAUUGAACUCACAACCCUGGGGUUAGCAGGCCAGUGCUCAAACCACUGAGCUAUCCCUCCCCGUCAAGGCAGGUGCAUGUUACUUGUCCACUGCUCAGUGCUGUACCUGAACAGCCCGAGUACUUUUGCCUAUCUGCUGUCACAGCGACUACCCUUGCUAAACAGUUGUCGAUUAGACGUGUUACAGUACUUAGUGGGCCCCCACUGUGCCAGUCACUCUACAAACAGGCAGUGUGUGGUCCUGCUCCCAAAGGGCCUAGGAACUAAAUAGACAAGACAGAAUUGCACAGCAGCUCGGUCACAGAACCAGGAUCAGAAACUAGGUCUGGUGUCUAGUGCCCUGUUCUCCACUGGCCCAGGCUGCGGCUGACCUCUGCUCCGUGAGCACCUCGAGCUGCUGUACUGGCCUACGGAGCACGUGUAUUUAUUCUCUGUGUCCUCUUGAAACUUAACUUUUAACGUCAUUCUUCACCUGGGCAUUUAACAGGCAGAAGCUGGUAUUUAUAGCCUCGGAUUUACACUACAGCCAUUCUCUUCCCCCAGCACCCACAAACUGCUACUCUACUUUCAUAUUUUAGGAGCAUCCUCUUUUUAGGAUUUACAUUCAAAUAUUGACACGAAUUUGCUGCUUUGCUGAAGUUUUAUUUCUGCUUUUUGCUGACGGCUGCCAUUCUUCACCGUGUCCUCGCUGCAGCAGGUUGCCUAUAUUUAAAAUGUAAAACAUCUUUGCAGCUUCAAUUUGGAAUUGAUUUUUUUUAAAGGAACUAAAACAUGGUAAAAAAUGAAGCUACAGAUUUCAUCUCCCCACCCCUGCAGCAGCAGAAGCUGUAAAUGCUUUUAUGAUGCAGAAAAAAAGAGAAACAUGGAAGAAUCUGUCAGUUGAAAGCUGCUUUUGUCUUCAAAAACCUGCCAAGUAGAAAAAUAUUUAGAAGAGAGAUAAUUAGAAGCUGUUUUAAAAAGAUUAAAGCUCUUUUAUUAAUAAGGCAGCUGAUGUUUAUCAAACUACAUAAUCAGCAACGUGCUGCAGGGCAGGCCGCUUACACGUACAAGCUCCACUUUCAACAUGGAGGUCGGAAUCAGUAUACGGAUCGGGGCGGUGAGUGCUGGUUUGCUCUGCAGGGCUGAACUAGCCAGGUUUGACUUGGAGACACUGAGAGAACAAUGAUGCAUCCAACGAGGUUGUGGUCACCUGUAUCUGAACUGUUCAAUGGAUAAACUACCCUGUGCUAUUUGCCAGGAUGUUUGGAAGAAGGAGAGUUAAACCUAUUGUUUUCUCAGGCCAAAAGGCUGCUGGAA